CUGCUAUGGGUAGCCGGACUGAGAGGGUGAUCGGUCAGACUGGGACUGAGAUACGGCCCAUACUUCUACGGAAGGCUGCAGUUCGGAAUAUCGCGCCAUGGUCGUGAGACUGACACAGCAACGCCGCGUGCAAGAUGAAGCUGCUAGGAGUGUCAACUGUUUAUAAUUGGGAAGAACAGACAGGUUUCGACUAGGGACUUGUUUUGACGGUGCCUUUAGAAGAAGUCCCGGCUAACUCCGUGCCAGCGAGCCGCGGUAACGCGGGAGGGUCAAGCGUAGUCCUGAAUUAUUGGGGCGUACAAUGGCGCGCAUGCGGAGAUGAUCAGUCUGAGGUGAAAUCUUUAGGCUUAAACUGAAAGUGUUGACUUGGAUACUGUCAUUCUGGAGAUCGGAAGAGGGAAGUGGCAGUCAUGGUGUAGCGGUGAAAUGCGUAGAUAUCAGGAAGACGACCGGUGGCGAAGCAGGCUUCUUGGUCCGAUACUGAGCGCUGAGGCGCGAAAACGUGAACGAGCGAACAGGAUUAGAUACCCUAGUAGUCCACGCUGUCAACGAUGGGUACUAGUUGUUGGUCCUUUUUAGGAUCAGCGCCGCAGCUAACGCAUUAAGUACUCCGCCUGGGGAGAUACGACCGCAAGGUGGAUACUCAAAGGAAUUGACGGGGGCCCGCACAACCGGUGGAGCAUCUGGUUUAAUUAGAUGCAACGCGAAGAACCUCACCUGGGCGUGAACAGUAGUGGCGGACCCCUGCAAAGGGGUCCUCUUUCGGGACGGCUAUAGAGCUGCUGCAUGCCGGUCGUCAGCUCGUGCCGUGAGGUGUUGGGUUAAGUCCUCGCAACGAGCGCAACCUCUGCCCUUAUUUGCCAUCAGCUUAUGAUGGGGACUCUCACGGGCGCUGCCCCGGAUAACGGGGAGGAAGCCGGGGAGGACGUCAAGUCGUCAUGGCCC
rnacentral:rRNA from 1 species